UUUGUCCUCAAUGGCAAAUUAACAGCCUUCGCCCUUCGCUUGGAUUUCCUUUCAGGAGACAGAGCUUAAAUUCUUUCUAACUACCCUGAAUUUACUACUGUACUGCUGUUCACAGGACAGAAUGAAUGCCGGGACUAAAGAAGAGGAGAUAAAAAUUUAUGGUAUCUUGCAAUUUAAUGGUUGAAAAGAUGCAAUUUGAAAGAUCAUAAAUUGUGAAGGAGUGCAUGCUCCAUUGAGCUUGAUUCAGUGCUUGCUGUUAGAAGUUGAUUUGCGAGUGUCUGCAGAGUGUGAUUAACGACCCGAUGAGCGCGAGCACGUUACCACUAAUGCUGCUCAUUAGAAUAAAUAAAAUAAAUUGACUGCAGCUCUAUGAAAACUCUGUAAUGGUUAAAAAUCAAAGAACAUCACCCGCCAUGCAGCCUGGAUUUAGCUCCUGGGUGCCUGUCGUCCCCUCCGUCAUGUUUGCGGUGACAGGGCCAAGGGGGGAACCUGCAGGACCCGGCCGCGUGGGGAAAUACGACCGACAAGGAGGAGAGAGGAUUGUUUCUUUGACUGGUAAUCACAUGUCAGGGGCCUUUUUGCUCUGAAAACCAUUUGAGGAGAAGGGAGUUAUAAUGCAUAAAAUUGCAUUUCAAGCUGAUAAUCGCUUGGUCGCUUGAAGAUUACGCUUGUUACUAUUGUUUUUUUCCCACUCAUGGCGCUCAGAGUUUUAGCCCUCUCUGCUGUCACUCAUUUGCUCGGUGAAAGGGCUCCGGAGCUGGAUCCUUUUAGACGGGACUGUUCAGACUGAUGGAGUCAUCGAGACUGCGGUGCACUGGGCGCUCACAGAAAACAUGAAAAUCAUUAGAAGAGAAGUGGAAAUAGACUGUGUAUCCAAACUGAUUUAGCUUGAAAUGUUUUCUUGAUGGAGCAGGUGAAAAGUCGUUUAUUUUAAUGAAUUUGCCUGUUUCUUUGUGGUAGACGAUUGAUUUCUGAGAUGAAUUUCCCAACACAUUAUUAAAAUCAAUGCAUAAUAAGUCAUUUUACACUGUACACCUAUUUGAACCAGUCAAAACCAGACUUUUAGAUUUUUCUUCAUUGGGCCAGUUUCAAUGACAGUGAGGUCAAAGGUCGUGGAGAUCCUGAUAGCUAAUAGUUUCCUAAUCGUAGAUUCACAUUAUGGAUAAUGAUGGCAUGCUCUGGAAAUGUGGUGGGAUUCCACACAUGCUAAGACUAUAGACAUUGUUGAUGGAUUGUUUUAUUUAUUUAUUCAUCACAGUUAAGGGGAACCUUCUUAACUGUCAUUAAUGCACAGCUUCUCAUGGCAGGCACAGCGAUGGUUGUUGGCUGUUUGGGCUUACUGCAGUAAUUUAAUAUGAUCACAUUUCUUUGUAUGUUCCCUAAUUUGAAUACAGCUUUGAAUUUGACUCAUCCAAUUAGUUAGGUAUUUGCAAACUGAAUAUAAGUUUGUUUAACUGUAUGCAGUGUGAAUUUGUAGUGUAUCUUAAAAAUAUAUUUAAAAAAACUGUAGAUUUUGCAGAUAACAUAGACCCGGUUUCUAGACAGGGCUCAUUUAGUUCAAUUAGGACAUUUAAGUAUUUUUUUAUAAAUAUGCCCUAUGAAAAAAACAUUACUGGUGCAUCUUAAGACAAAACAAAGGCACUGACAUGUUUUAAGAUCAGUCAGUGCAAGUUUCUUUCAGUUGAAACAGCUCAGAUUUACAUUUUAGUCUAGGACUAGACUUAAGCCUUGUCUGUGAAACUGGGGGAUAAUUAAAUAAAUGGCCACUUAAGUGUACUUAAAGAAAGACACUUUCAUGGCUGGUCCGUAAAGUACUUAAGUACAAUUUGAAAUGAUGUCAAAUGUACAGUUUCACUGUAAAGCACAUUUUAAAUCCUUAUGUUUUAAUUUGUUGUCAUGAUUUAAAGAAGUACACUUAUUUUGAUGUGCUGACUAACAUACUAAAGCACGUGCAAAGCAUUUGCUUGUAAAUGAAUGAAUUGCAUAUAAAGUUAAUAUAUUUUAAAUUUAAAUAGCAUGCAAUUUCUUCCUCAAAAAUGUGUCAUUACAAAUAUAUUUAAAUACAUUACAUGCAAUUUCGAUAGAAAUGACAUUAAAGUAUAUUUUAGUUUACCAUAAAUGCUUUUCAACAUAUUCAACAGUCCACUUUAACCAUAUUUCAAAGACAAUAGAAGUAAUUACAUAUAAAGAUAAAAAUACUUAGCCUACUUAUGUGGGUCUAAAAGUACUCAUAAGUUUGACUAAUUGCAUUUAAUAUAAAUUUAAACUAUAAUACAUUUCCAUUUAAUUGUAAAUAACAUGUUAUAAAGUGUCCAAAAGUUUUUUUUAGCUAAACUUUACAGCAGCUGUCACUCAAAAAUAUAGCAGUCUAUUCCUAGUAAAUAACUAGUGGUAUCUUUGACUGUAGCAUGCAGGCUCACACCGGAAACUAAAGAACCUUUAGAGCUCCAGCGAAAUGUAAAUGUGCUGGUUGGUUUUCAUAAAUAUUUCAAAAACAUUUCUGUAAUGGAGGAAGUGGUGAGCGCUGUAGUGGUGAGUG
ensembl:lncRNA